UCUCCUGUAGCUCAGUGGUAGAGCAUCCAACCGGUCUGCAGAAGGUCAUUGGUUCAACCUCAUGUUGGGAGAA